rnacentral:misc_RNA from 1 species
GAUGAAGAACGUAGCGAAAUGCGAUACGUAAUGUGAAUUGCAGAAUUCAGUGAAUCAUCGAGUCUUUGAACGCACAUUGCGCCCCCUGGUAUUCCGGGGGGCAUGCCUGUCCGAGCGUCAUUGCUGCCCUCAAGCACGGCUUGUGUGUUGGGCCUCCGUCCUCCUCCCGGGGGACGGGCCCGAAAGGCAGCGGCGGCACCGCGUCCGGUCCUCGAGCGUAUGGGGCUUCGUCACCCGCUCUUGUAGGCCCGGCCGGCGCUUGCCGACACAUCAAUCUUUUUUCCAGGUUGACCUCGGAUCAGGUAGGGAUACCCGCUGAAAUUAAGCAUAUCAAUAAGCGGAGGA